rnacentral:rRNA from 1 species
CCUACGGGGGGCUGCAGUGGGGGAUAUUGCACAAUGGGGGAAACCCUGAUGCAGCGACGCCGCGUGGGUGAAGAAGCGCCUCGGCGCGUAAAGCCCUGUCAGCAGGGAAGAAAAUGACGGUACGUGAAGAAGAAGCCCCGGCUAACUACGGGCCAGCAGCCGCGGUAAUACGUAGGGGGCAAGCGUUAGCCGGAUUUACUGGGUGUAAAGGGGGCGCAGACGGCGAUGCAAGCCAGGAGGGAAAGCCCGGGGCCCAACCCCGGGACUGCUCUUGGAACUGCGUGGCUAGAGUGCAGGAGGGGCAGGCGGAAUUCGUGGUGUAGCGGUGAAAUGCGUAGAUAUCAGGAGGAACACCGGUGGCGAAGGCGGCCUGCUGGACUGCAACUGACGUUGAGGCCCGAAAGCGUGGGGAGCAAACAGGAUUAGAUACCCUAGUAGUC